CGAACGAAGGCAAUCCGCUGAAAGAUGGGCUCGCGUCCGAUUAGAUAGUUGGCGGGGUAACGGCCCACCAAGUCGACGAUCGGUAGCCGGACUGAGAGGUUGAACGGCCACAUUGGGACUGAGACACGGCCCAGACUCCUACGGAAGGCAGCAG
rnacentral:rRNA from 1 species